rnacentral:tRNA from 1 species
GGAUGGGUGGCCGAGUGGUUUAAGGCAGCGGUCUUGAAAACCGCCAGUCCGCAAGGGCUCGUGGGUUCGAAUCCCACCCCAUCCG